UGAUAGUGACGAGGACAACUUCUGAGCAUGCCCUUGAAUCUCUCCCAAGCUUGGUAGAGAUUUUCUCCAUCUUUUUGUCAAUAUCUUACUCUUUAAUCG
rnacentral:snoRNA from 1 species